GACGAACGCUGGCGGCGUGCUUAACACAUGCAAGUCGAACGGGAACCUUUAUUUCGGUAAAGGUGAGAGUGGCAAACGGGUGAGUAACACGUAGGCAACCUGCCGACAGGAUGGGGACAACAUUCCGAAAGGAAUGCUAAUACCGAAUGAAGUCACCGGAGGGCAUCCUCUGGUGAUGAAAGAUGGCCUCUGAAUAUGCUAUCACCUGUCGAUGGGCCUGCGUCUGAUUAGCCAGUUGGCGGGGUAACGGCCCACCAAAGCGACGAUCAGUAGCCGGUCUGAGAGGAUGAACGGCCACAUUGGGACUGAGACACGGCCCAGACUCCUACGGGAGGCAGCAGUGGGGAAUCUUCCACAAUGGGCGAAAGCCUGAUGGAGCAACGCCGCGUGAGUGAAGAAGGUCUUCGGAUCGUAAAGCUCUGUUGCACGGGACGAAAACUGGGUUUGAGAACAUUUAACCUGGGUGACGGUACCGAGCGAGGAAGCCACGGCUACUCUCC
rnacentral:rRNA from 1 species